AUUCUAGUAGACAAACUCUUAAAAGCGAAAGAAGGAGAACCAGCCCGUCCACCCUCGUCGUCAGCGAGGUCGCCGGAGAGGAAGGGUAGGGGGCUGGCAGCGGAGCAGGGAGCCUCUCCCCACGGGCAAGAUCUGAACCGGUUCUGGAAGGGAGAGAAGAGGAGGAAAAGUUGGGUACGGUUACUACAGAUAGCUGAUACUACAGGGGAUAGAUCCUAAGGGCACCUACAACGCGUCUCUUCCUCUCAUCUCUGUGUUGUUGUUUUUGCGAAAAACACCCUCAUCUCGCUUGGAGACGGUCGCCCCGUCGUCUCGCGAGGCGACGAUGAGGGCCCGUGCUCCGAGGCUCAAUCGCCAGCCAGAGCACCGAUGUACGAGUCGUCUUCUGAACUCGUCGACACAUAUGGAUCCCGCGUGGGUGCACGCGGAAACUAGUAUUGGCGCACGGGAGGUGCCCAGGCCGCCGUGAGCUGCACGAUGGAGUUCCGCCGCGGCCGCAGCGAGACACCACAGCCUGUGCGUGGCAAUCUCCGUCCCGACUGCCGCGAGACGCGCGGACCAGUUCGUCGCACUAUGAGCUGUGCACGAGAGACAUAGAAAUUGCCCGCCAAAUUCCAUCCUCAUCUCAUCGUCGUCGCCAUCGUCGUCGUACCUAGGCCACUGGGCGCCAAGGGCUUGGACAUCUGCCUACCCGUGCCGCAUGCUGCUGGCGGCGGUAGUCCAAGCGAACCUGGGGAAGGAAUCAUCGGCACCCCAAGCCGAAGGGGACGACGGCAGCAGCAUCCCGGUAAACUACACCACCAUUUACAGGCCCAGCAGCACCCAUCACCACCACAUCCCAUAUUAGAGUAUCAGAAUCGAUGUCAACAUCCAUAGCGCACAGAAGGUGUUUGACAGAAUGCCCAUGAGUUCUGUUUCAAUUCCGAAAAACUGCAUAGAUGGUUUACGGUUUUCUAGUUAUAUCUAGAAAUCAAAACUUUCUUGAAUGCCCAAAUGCUUAUCUUGCUGGUCAGGUACUUAAUGGAAUCUCUUUUAUUAUUAGGUUUAAUCCUAGAGUUCGUUGGACGUUUGUCCAUUCGAGUAGUUUCCUACUGAACACACUGAUCGAUUAUCCAUGUUGCUUCCUUGCUAUUGUACAGAAUACUGAUGCAAUUGAUUUUGGUUGACUGGUAUGGUGUAUCUGUGUAAUGUAUUGCUGAAGCGUUUCAGUUCGAUUUGAGCAGCUUGCUUUUGGUUCAGAUUGGCAAAUCACGUGAUAUGCUGAUCUAUGGUCAUGUAAUUGAGCGUAGCUGUGAUCUAUUAUAUAUCAAAUAACAACAUGGUGGUACACAAAAUA